GGACCAUUCCAUGUGCAUCCAUUGUGUUUAGACCGCCAUUAGGUGGCCUGCAAAUUGAAGAACUUGUCAAGAUAUACUACUGUAUUCAACAGUUAACUUUUUGCUAUAUCAUCCUAACAGGCACUGCUGUUUAUACUGUGAAAACUAACAAAAUUGCUGUUCAUAUUGUGAUUGGUUGAUUACCUGUGCUUCUAACUGCAAAUCACAUGUUUAAAAUUAUAUCUUGACAUGACAGUUACUAUGUUUAAUUGUUUUAUCAUGAGUUAAAACUUAGCAUUGCAUGGGUGGUUGCACCUAUGAGUGAUUGCAGGCUGGUUCAGGUAAAUGCAGCUGUGGCGGAAAAGUUGUGGAUGGGUUAUGUGUAAAACCUAUCAAAGGAAAUGCAGUUCUUUUCUGGAGCAUGGGACUAGAUGGCCAGUCGGAUCCUAGCAGCAUACAUGGAGGAUGUGAGGUUCUGUCAGGGGUGAAGUGGUCAGCUACAAAAUGGAUGAGGCAAAGAGCUACUUUCUGAUUUUACAGUUAACCCUAGCUUAGGUAUAUUGAAACAAUGCCUCUUUUACAUGGGUCGUGUUAUAUAGAUCUGCAUACGAAGGAUUAGAGAAUAUGAAUUAACCUUGAAUUAGAAAUUUAUUCUAGUUUCUAAUCCCCUAUCAAGGGCUGUUGUGAUUUGGAAAAAGUUUGAUCUCUGGUUUGAGUGGCAAAUAUUGCACCAAAAAAUCUGAUUUAUUUACAUAUGAUCAGCUCUAAAUCCUCCACCUUAGACUCUACUUCAAUGGCUCCAUGUUAAAUAGGAGCGCAAAUUAAUCAAAUACUGAAAUUUUAUCUUCUA